rnacentral:lncRNA from 1 species
UUGAAUCUACUCCUAACUACCUUGCUUUGUGUUUCUCUCUCUAGAAAAGCCCUAGUCUCUCUCUAAAACCAGAAAAAUAUGAAUAAAAAUGUAAUAGAAUCUUAAGAGAAAGAAGGAAAAACUAUUUAUAUGGGCUGUGUUUUGACAACUCGCUUAUGGCCAAAAUAACUCGCCAUAAGCGAGAUGCACGAAAUCAGCUUCUGCCCCAAUGGUUAUGCUCCACGUGCCCCUUAUCCUGUUGAAUCUCUUGAACUCGCCAUGAACACGCUUAUGGCGUGAAGCCUCUGGAGAAAACUCGCCAAUGGCCAAAUACUCGCUUAUGGCGAGUUUCUUGAAUUCUGGCUUCUAGACUUAUGGCUUGGUACAUGCUUAUGGCGUGUUGUCUCUGGUCAACUAAUAUUUUUGGUCCUUGCUUGUAUUUUCCUGCACAAAAAGGGUAAAGUAAGGCAUGCAAAGCAUAAAUGGCAUUUAGGCACAUAAUUGAAGCUUUUCCAUCAAUAAUUUGUAAAACAACUCAUCAAAUAUGCCUAAACUAACACAUGAAUUAGAUCAUUUUGAGCACUUAUCAACAACCAA